AAUCAACGCUGGCGGCGUGCCUAACACAUGCAAGUCGAACGAGAAAGCGGGGGCAAUUCCGUGAGUAUAGUGGCGAACGGGUGAGUAACACGUAGCUAACCUACCCUCGAGUGGGGGAUAACCUGGGGAAACCUGGCUAAUACCGCAUAACAUCUACGGAUCAAAUGCGUAAGCAGCUUGGGGAGGGGGUCGCGGCUGAUUAGCUAGUUGGCGGGGUAAUGGCCCACCAAGGCAGUGAUCAGUAGCCGGCCUGAGAGGGCGCACGGCCACACUGGAACUGAAACACGGUCCAGACUCCUACGGGAGGCAGCAGUGGGGAAUUUUGCGCAAUGGGGGAAACCCUGACGCAGCAACGCCGCGUGGAGGAUGACGCCCCUUGGGGUGUAAACUCCUUUCGAUCGGGACGAUUAUGACGGUACCGGAAGAAGAAGCCCCGGCUAACUUCGUGCCAGCAGCCGCGGUAAUACGAGGGGGGCGAGCGUUGUUCGGAAUUAUUGGGCGUAAAGGGUGCGUAGGCGGUUUGGUAAGUCUUAUGUGAAAUCUAUGGGCUCAACUCAUAGACUGCAUGAGAAACUGCCGGGCUUGAGUGUGGGAGAGGUGAGUGGAAUUUCCGGUGUAGCGGUGAAAUGCGUAGAUAUCGGGAGGAACACCUGUGGCGAAAGCGGCUCACUGGACCAUUACUGACGCUGAUGCACGAAAGCUAGGGGAGCAAACAGGAUUAGAUACCCUGGUAGUCCUAGCCCUAAACGAUGAUCGCUUGGUGUGACAGGUACCCAAUCCUGUCGUGCCGGAGCUAACGCGUUAAGCGAUCCGCCUGGGGAGUACGGUCGCAAGGCUG
rnacentral:rRNA from 1 species